AGAGUUUGAUCCUGGCUCAGGAUGAACGCUGGCGGCGCGCCUAACACAUGCAAGUCGAACGGCACCUGCCCUCGGGCAGAAGCGAGUGGCGAACGGCUGAGUAACACGUGGAGAACCUGCCCCCUCCCCCGGGAUAGCCGCCCGAAAGGACGGGUAAUACCGGAUACCCCGGGGUGCCGCAUGGCACCCCGGCUAAAGCCCCGACGGGAGGGGAUGGCUCCGCGGCCCAUCAGGUAGACGGCGGGGUGACGGCCCACCGUGCCGACAACGGGUAGCCGGGUUGAGAGACCGACCGGCCAGAUUGGGACUGAGACACGGCCCAGACUCCUACGGGAGGCAGCAGUGGGGAAUCUUGCGCAAUGGGGGGAACCCUGACGCAGCAACGCCGCGUGCGGGACGGAGGCCUUCGGGUCGUAAACCGCUUUCAGCAGGGAAGAGUCAAGACUGUUACCUGCUGAAGAAGCCCCGGGCUAACUACUUGCCACUAGCCCUCGUGUAUAUGUUAUGGGGCGAGCGUUAUCCUGAUUCAUUGGGUGUAAAGCGCGCGUAGGCGGCCCCGCAGCCCGGGGGUCGAAACGGGGGGCUCAACCCCCCGAAGCCCCCGGAACCUCCGCGGCUUGGGUCCGGUAGGGGAGGGUGGAACACCCGGUGUAGCGGUGGAAUGCGCAGAUAUCGGGUGGAACACCGGUGGCGAAGGCGGCCCUCUGGGCCGAGACCGACGCUGAGGCGCGAAAGCUGGGGGAGCGAACAGGAUUAGAUACCCUGGUAGUCCCAGCCGUAAACGAUGGACGCUAGGUGUGGGGGGACGAUCCCCCCGUGCCGCAGCCAACGCAUUAAGCGUCCCGCCUGGGGAGUACGGCCGCAAGGCUAAAACUCAAAGGAAUUGACGGGGGCCCGCGCAAGCAGCGGAGCAUGUGGCUUAAUUCGAAGCAACGCGAAGAACCUUACCAGGGCUUGACAUAUGGGUGAAGCGGGGGAGACCCCGUGGCCGAGAGGAGCCCAUACAGGUGGUGCAUGGCUGUCGUCAGCUCGUGUCGUGAGAUGUUGGGUUAAGUCCCGCAACGAGCGCAACCCCCGCCGCGUGUUGCCAUCGGGUGAUGCCGGGAACCCACGCGGGACCGCCGCCGUCAAGGCGGAGGAGGGCGGGGACGACGUCAAGUCAUCAUGCCCCUUAUGCCCUGGGCUGCACACGUGCUACAAUGGCCGGUACAGAGGGAUGCCACCCCGCGAGGGGGAGCGGAUCCCGGAAAGCCGGCCCCAGUUCGGAUUGGGGGCUGCAACCCGCCCCCAUGAAGUCGGAGUUGCUAGUAAUCGCGGAUCAGCAUGCCGCGGUGAAUGCGUUCCCGGGCCUUGUACACACCGCCCGUCA
rnacentral:rRNA from 1 species